rnacentral:rRNA from 1 species
AACGCUGGCGGAAUGCUUUACACAUGCAAGUCGAACGGCAGCCCGGGGGCAACCCUGGUGGCGAGUGGCCCUCGGGAAGAGUAAUACAUCGGAACGUGCCCAGUCGUGGGGGAUAACGUAGCGAAAGUUACGCUAAUACCGCAUACAAUCUCUGGAUGAAAGCGGGGGACCGUAAAGCAUCGCGCGAUUGGAGCGGCCGAUGUCAGACUAGGUAAUUGGUGGGGUAAAGGCCCACCAAACCGACCACCACGGGCUGGACUGAGAGGACGACCAACCACACUGGGGACUGAGACACGGCCC